rnacentral:rRNA from 1 species
AAUGAACGUUGGCGGCGUGGAUUAGGCAUGCAAGUCGUGCGGCAGCAGGUCCUUCGGGAUGCUGGCGAGCGGCGAAAGGGAGAGUAACGCGUGGGUUACCUACCCUCGGCUUCAGGAUAGCGUCGGGAAACUGACGGUAAUACUGAAUAACAUCUCCGGAUCAAAGGUGUGAUUCCGGCCGAGGACUGGCCCGCGUCCUAUUAGCUACGCGUGAGGUAAUGGCUCACGUUGGCGAUGAUGGGUACGAGGUGUGAGAGCACGACCUCGCUCACUGGGACUGAGACACUGCCCAGACACCUACGGGUGGCUGCAGUCGAGAAUCUUCGGCAAUGGGCGCAAGCCUGACCGAGCGACGCCGCGUGCGGGACGAAGGCCUUCGGGUUGUAAACCGCUGUCAGAGAGGCGGAAAUGCUUAGGGGUUCACUCCUAAGUUUGACCUAAUCUCAGAGGAAGCACGGGCUAAGUUCGUGCCAGCCGCCGCAGUAAAAC